AACUAACGCUAGUGGUAUGCCUCAAACAUGCAAGUCGAACGAGAAAGUUCCUUCGGGAGCGAGUACAGUGGCGCACGGGUGAGUAACACGUAACUAACGUACCCUUUCGCUGGGGAUAACUUCGGGAAACCGAAGCUAAUACCGAAUGAUCUAGUUGAAUCUGCGGAUUUAAUUGGUAAAGCCUUCGGGCGCGAGAGGAUCGGGUUGCGGCCCAUUAGAUUGUUGGUGGGGUAACGGCCUACCAAGUCUACGAUGGGUAACUGGUCUGAGAGGAUGAUCAGUCACACUGGAACUGGAACACGGUCCAGACACCCACGGGUGGCAGCAGUUGGGAAUCUUGGACAAUGGGAGAAAUCCUGAUCCAGCAAUACCACGUGAGUGAUGAAGGCUUUCGGGUCGUAAAGCUCUUUCAGCAGGGAAGAAGGGAAACUUGACGGUACCUGCAAAAGAAGCACCGGCUAACUCCG
rnacentral:rRNA from 1 species